rnacentral:rRNA from 1 species
GAGCUUGCUCCUUUGAAGUUAGCGGCGGACGGGUGAGUAACACGUGGGUAACCUACCUAUAAGACUGGGAUAACUUCGGGAAACCGGAGCUAAUACCGGAUAACAUUUAGAACCGCAGGGUUCUAAAGUGAAAGAUGGUUUUGCUAUCACUUAUAGAUGGACCCGCGCCGUAUUAGCUAGUUGGUAAGGUAACGGCUUACCAAGGCGACGAUACGUAGCCGACCUGAGAGGGUGAUCGGCCACACUGGAACUGAGACACGGUCCAGACUCCUACGGGAGGCAGCAGUAGGGAAUCUUCCGCAAUGGGCGAAAGCCUGACGGAGCAACGCCGCGUGAGUGAUGAAGGGUUUCGGCUCGUAAAACUCUGUUAUUAGGGAAGAACAAAUGUGUAAGUAACUGUGCACAUCUUGACGGUACCUAAUCAGAAAGCCACGGCUAACUACGUGCCAGCAGCCGCGGUAAUACGUAGGUGGCAAGCGUUAUCCGGAAUUAUUGGGCGUAAAGCGCGCGUAGGCGGUUUCUUAAGUCUGAUGUGAAAGCCCACGGCUCAACCGUGGAGGGUCAUUGGAAACUGGGAAACUUGAGUGCAGAAGAGGAAAGUGGAAUUCCAUGUGUAGCGGUGAAAUGCGCAGAGAUAUGGAGGAACACCAGUGGCGAAGGCGACUUUCUGGUCUGUAACUGACGCUGAUGUGCGAAAGCGUGGGGAUCAAACAGGAUUAGAUACCCUGGUAGUCCACGCCGUAAACGAUGAGUGCUAAGUGUUAGGGGGUUUCCGCCCCUUAGUGCUGCAGCUAACGCAUUAAGCACUCCGCCUGGG